rnacentral:rRNA from 1 species
UACGAAGGGGGGCUAGCGUUGUUCGGAUUUACUGGGCGUAAAGCGCACAUAGGCGGAUUGUUAAGUCAGGGGUGAAAUCCUGGAGCUCAACUCCAGAACUGCCUUUGAUACUGGCAAUCUCGAGUCCGGAAGAGGUAAGUGGAACUCCUAGUGUAGAGGUGGAAUUCGUAGAUAUUAGGAAGAACACCAGUGGCGAAGGCGGCUUACUGGUCCGGAACUGACGGCUGAGGUGCGAAAGCGUGGGGAGCAAACAGGAUUGAGA